UUCGUAGGGUGCAAGCGUUGUCCGGAAUUAUUGGGCGUAAAGAGCUCGUAGGCGGUCUGUCGCGUCGGCUGUGAAAACCCGGAGCUCAACUCCGGGCCUGCAGUCGAUACGGGCAGACUGGAGUUCGGCAGGGGAGACUGGAAUUCCUGGUGUAGCGGUGAAAUGCGCAGAUAUCAGGAGGAACACCGGUGGCGAAGGCGGGUCUCUGGGCCGAUACUGACGCUGAGGAGCGAAAGCGUGGGGAGCGAACAGG
rnacentral:rRNA from 1 species